rnacentral:rRNA from 2 species
UACGGAGGGUGCAAGCGUUGUUCGGAAUUACUGGGCGUAAAGCGCGUGUAGGCGGUUUGGUAAGUCAGAUGUGAAAGCCCUGAGCUCAACUCAGGAAGUGCAUUUGAAACUGCCUUACUCGAGUAUGGGAGAGGAGAGUGGAAUUCCCAGUGUAGAGGUGAAAUUCGUAGAUAUUGGGAGGAACACCCGUGGCGAAGGCGACUCUCUGGACCAAUACUGACGCUGAGACGCGAAAGCGUGGGGAGCAAACAGG